GGAAAUGGUGGGGUCCUGGAGGAACAUAGACAUUGCCUGGCACAAGGCGGAGGAAGCCGGUGAGUUUCGUUUAGUUUCUUGGUCGAAGAAAAAAUGCAUUUUUAAUGGCAAGUGUUCAUUUUGAGUUAAUAGUUUCUUGGUCAGAAAAAAUGCAUUUUUAAUGGCAAGUGUUCAUUUUGAGCGAGGUAAUGUGCACAUGUUAGGCUGGAAUUUGCUCGAUUUCUUGUUGCGGCUUGGAUAUAAUUUGUCGCUUUAUCGAAAAAAAAGUUAAUAUUUUCCAAGGAAUUAUCCCCUUUGCUCUCAAAUGGCAGAUUAAUUGGAAAUUAUUAUGAUUUCUGAUUGAACACUGAAAAAAUUAGUAAAUUUCUAAUUUAUCAGUUAUGAAUGUUGCAAUCAAGCACUUAGGUUGCCUAAAUUUUUCUUUAGUCUCAUUGAUGCUAGAUUAUUGAAUUCUUCGUCCAUUUGAAUUUUAUCUCACAUUUAGCUCUUUUAGC
rnacentral:lncRNA from 1 species